rnacentral:rRNA from 1 species
GAUGAACGCUGGCGGCGUGCCUAAUACAUGCAAGUAGAACGCUGAAGGAGGAGCUUGCUCUUCUGGAUGAGUUGCGAACGGGUGAGUAACGCGUAGGUAACCUGCCUGGUAGCGGGGGAUAACUAUUGGAAACGAUAGCUAAUACCGCAUGACAACAGUUAUUGCAUGAUAACUGUUUAAAAGGGGCAACUGCUCCACUACCAGAUGGACCCGCGUUGUAUUAGCUAGUUGGUGAGGUAACGGCUCACCAAGGCGACGAUACAUAGCCGACCUGAGAGGGGGAUCGGCCACACUGGGACUGAGACACGGCCCAGACUCCUACGGGAGGCAGCAGUAGGGAAUCUUCGGCAAUGGACGGAAGUCUGACCGAGCAACGCCGCGUGAGUGAAGAAGGUUUUCGGAUCGUAAAGCUCUGUUGUAAGAGAAGAACGAGUGUGAGAGUGGAAAGUUCACACUGUGACGGUAUCUUACCAGAAAGGGACGGCUAACUACGUG